CCAGACGGCCGGACGGUCGCUCUUCCGCGCCUGAACGCGCGGAAGGGAGGAAAGUCCGGGCUCCACGGAAGCGCGGUGCCGGGUAACGCCCGGCGGGGGCGACCCCAGGGAAAGUGCCACAGAAAGCAAACCGCCCAUGGCCCGGCGCAUGGCGCCGAGUGCCCAUCGGGUAAGGGUGAAAGGGUGCGGUAAGAGCGCACCGCGCCCCUGGUGACAGGGGCGGCACGGUAAACCCCACCGGGAGCAAGACCAGAUAGGGGCGGCAUGUCGGGGCCUUUGCGCCCCGACAGGUGAGCUUCCGCACCGCUGCCCGGGUAGGUCGCGCGAGGCGUCCGGCAACGGACGUCCCAGAGGAAUGGCCGUCGCCCGCCGGUGUCACCGGCGGGUACAGAACCCGGCUUACAGGCCGUCUGGUCCG
rnacentral:RNase_P_RNA from 1 species